AAGUCGUAACAAGGUCUCCGUUGGUGAACCAGCGGAGGGAUCAUUACAGAGUUGCAAAACUCCCAAACCAUCGUGAACGUUACCUACAUCGUUGCUUCGGCGGGUGGCGGGCUUCGGCCCUGCCCUCGGCCCCUCUCGGGGGCCCGCCGGAGGUACACCAAACUCUUGAAUUUACAUGGCCUCUCUGAGUCUUCUGUACUGAAUAAGUCAAAACUUUCAACAACGGAUCUCUUGGUUCUG
rnacentral:misc_RNA from 1 species